CCUAACUUUACCUAAUAUAUUUUUGGUGAAAUUAUCACUUUCACAUGUGAUCAGUAUAAAAAUUGUAUUGCCUUCUCUCCCCCUAAUUUUUCUGUCUUCACAGUCCAGCUGCGGUCUUUGGAGCACAUUCCACUUCAGGUGAACCACAGUUUAAGCAUUUGAUGGCCACCGCAUGGUACAGGCCAGAUACAUGCUUAGCCCACAGCUCCCAGGUUGGAGCAGGGAGGUGAUGGCAGACCAAGCAGGCUCCGGUUCAUCCUCGUCCUCAUGGUCUUCACUUUAUGUCCAUCUUCCCCGUCCACCUGCCUGCCCCGCUGCCUUUGGACACAGAAGUGACUGCCUCACACAUAGGAGUGAACAGCUCUCACUGUCCCAUGAGGCCAAAGCCCUCCAAUUGCUAACUGAUGAACUAAUGACUAAUGAAAUAAAAUAAUUCAGCUGUCAUGCAAUGUCUGAAUGCUUCCUUACCUAUCCCACCCUUAAGGUGGAGCCUAGGAGAGGUGACUCGUCAUGAGGGCUGCAGCCCAUAAGUGCAAUUAGGGAGCCCCUACAUCAAGGGAGCCCCCACACCUGCCCUUCCACCAUUUGAAGCAGAGCCAGAGUCCUCUAGGAGCCAGGAGGGAGCCCCCACCAGACACUGAAUCUGGAGGCACGUUGGUCUUGGGCUGCUUACUGUUUAUAAGCCACCAGUUUAUAGUAUUUUGUUGUCGAGUCCUGCACAGACUAAGACUAUAUAUAUAUAUA
rnacentral:lncRNA from 1 species